AUGUGCGAGCUCGUCUCUCAUCACUCACGCCGUCCGCCUCGGUUUCCCCUCGUCCCCAGCAGGAUCUGGUUACCGCUGUUUAAUCCGGCCUGGGCUGGGAGGCAGCCAGGCGACCAUUUCCUGAUUCCACAGGAGUCUGUGAUUCCCUCCCAGCAGGCGCUGAGCGAGCUCUUUUACGGACAUAACUCCAGAGGGGAGCCCAUGUGGGCUGCGGGGGAGGACAGGACCUACCCAGCCGCUCAGCCCCGGGGGUGCGUCUGUCAGCCAUUCUGCGGAGUGACCCUGGGCAAAUCACUUCACCUCUCUGAGCUUCAAGCUUCCAUUUGUAAAACAGAAGUGAAAGUGCCUAUGGCUUGGGAUCCCCUGCAGAUUAAGCAAGCGUACAGAAUUCACGUCAGCAGGAGCACAGUCUAGACACUGCUCAGCCUGGAUGAAGCCUACAGAAUUGACGCCAGAGGCCAGACGGAGACGAAGGUGAGACACUUUCUUUCCUGGGCUUGGUGGGAAAAGUCCCCAAAGUUCCAGUUUCUAUGGGCAGCGGGAGAGAUUCUCGUCUGACUAAUGUUGCUGGAGGAAACUCCUGCCUGAAGUCGGGGAUGGAGUCGAUCACCUUUCCACGUCCUCUCAACUCCCCAAAGUCUAAGGAAACAUUUCUUCCUGGAAGCCAGUCCCUCAUUUGGCUCCUCAUGAGGAGAAGGGCCAGGGCAGAGCAGUUACUUCUAUUGAUGACCUGCCUGGGCAGCACGCUGGUACACAACAUAUAUUAAGAUAUUUAUUACUCACAGCAAUAGUGAAAGGAGGAUCAAUGUUCCCAUUUAUAGUGGAGGAGAUUAAAUCAGAGAGGCAAAAUGACUUGUCCAAAAUCACACAGCUUGUAUCCUGGGUCUGGUGGCUCCAAGCCUGCACCUUCUCUGUAGCACUGUUGGGCUCCUACUCAUCCCUCAGAACCCUAGCACAGACAUCACCUCUCACUGAAGUCUGCCCUGACCCAGAGCACUCUUCUUCCUUUCUCUCAGCAGUAACUGUCAUGCCUUCUCUGUGCACCCAGCAGUGCCACCACCCGCCCUCUGCUGCUGUAGGUACGAUAUUGGGUGGCACUUGCCCACAAGCACCUCAAAGGCAGAGACGGCCCUGUAACCUCUGUGUUCUUUUUUUAAUGUUAACGUUCAAUAAAGGCAAUGGUACAGUAUUCCUGUGAGUGACU
rnacentral:lncRNA from 1 species